rnacentral:rRNA from 1 species
AAAUUGAAGAGUUUGAUCAUGGCUCAGAUUGAACGCUGGCGGCAGGCCUAACACAUGCANNNNNNNNNNGCAGCUUGCUGCUUUGCUGACGAGUGGCGGACGGGUGAGUAAUGUCUGGGAAACUGCCUGAUGGAGGGGGAUAACUACUGGAAACGGUAGCUAAUACCGCAUAACGUCGCAAGACCAAAGAGGGGGACCUUCGGGCCUCUUGCCAUCGGAUGUGCCCAGAUGGGAUUAGCUAGUAGGUGGGGUAAAGGCUCACCUAGGCGACGAUCCCUAGCUGGUCUGAGAGGAUGACCAGCCACACUGGAACUGAGACACGGUCCAGACUCCUACGGGAGGCAGCAGUGGGGAAUAUUGCACAAUGGGCGCAAGCCUGAUGCAGCCAUGCCGCGUGUAUG